CAAAGAGAAUAGAGUCCAUGUGUGUGGUCUAGCUAGUUCUCACAAAGCCACCCCUGCCAAAGCGAACUAAAGUCAGAGCAAAUGUGUUCUUUUUUAUUUUUAAAAAUUUUUUGUCUUUCUCUCUUUUUAGGGCUGCCCCUGCAGCAUAUGGAGGUUCCCAGACUAGGGGUCCAAUUGGAGCUGGAGCCGCCAGGCUAUACUGGGGCCAUAGCAAUGCAGGAUCUGAGCCGCAUCUGUGACUUAUACCACAGCAACACCGGAUCCUUAACCCACUAAGCGAGGCCAGGGAUCGAACCUGCAUCCUCAUGGAUGCCAGUCAGAUUUGUUAACCGCUGAGUCAUGAUGGGAACCCCCCUUUUUAAAAAUUACUUUGAAAUGUGUUCUUUUAAAGACUCUUUGGAGUUCCCUGGUGGCUCGUCAGGUUAAGGAUCUGGCGUUGUCACUGCUGUGGCGCAGGUUCCAUCCUUGGCAUGCCUGGGAACCUCCACAUGCCAUGGGCACAGCCAAAAAAUAAAAAAAGGUCUUGGCAUUUCCAUUGUGGCUCAGUGGGUUAAGAACCAAGGUAGGAGUUCCUGUUGUGGCUCAGUGGUAAUGAACCCAAAUGGUAUCCAUGAGGACGUGGGUUCCAUCCCUGGCCUUGCUCAGUGGGUUAAGGAUCCGGCAUUGCUGUGAGCUGUGGUGUAGGUCUCAGAUGUGACUUGGAUCUGGUGUUGCUGUGGCUGUGGUGUAGGCCGGCAGCUGCAGCUCUGAUUCGACCCCUAGCCUGGGAACUUCCAUAUGCUGCAGGUGCGGCCAUAAAAAGAAAAAAAGGUUCCUUUGAGGGUGAUGCCUGAUGUGGCCUGCUGUCUGGGGUACAGAUGCCUAGUCCACCCCCAGAGGAAAGAAGAAAACAAGCCUCUUGGUCCCGCUUCGGCCCUGCUCUGUACUGUCCUCACGGGGUUACUUAGCCCUCGGCGAGGAAGCAGACGCCCACCGUACACACAUCUGGGUCUACCCGCCUCCCGUGAAGCAAGCCCUCUGUUCCUGGUCUGAUUUCUGCAGCCUCAGUCAGACCCAGGCCACCUGCUCGGGAAUCUGGAAGACAGAGGAUGGAUAAACAACAAGCAGCUACUGUCGAGCACGGGGAAUCAUAGCCAACAUCCUGUAAUAAUAAGCCUUAAUGGAAAAGAAUAAACAAAGGAAAGUAUGUAUAUACUGAAUCA
rnacentral:lncRNA from 1 species